UGGAGAGAGAAGAGUGUCAGGGAGAGGGAGACAGGUUGGUGGAGAGAGAAGAGUGUCAGGGAGAGGGAGACAGGUUGGUGGGGAGAGAAGAGUGGCAGGGAGAGGGAGACAGGUUGGUGGGGAGAGAAGAGUGUCAGGGAGAGGGAGACAGGUUGGUGGAGAGAGAAGAGUGUCAGGGAGAGGGAGACAGGUUGGUGGGGAGAGAAGAGUGGCAGGGAGAGGGAGACAGGUUGGUGGGGGGGAGAAGAGUGGCAGGGAGAGGGAGACAGGUUGGUGGGGGAGAGAAGAGUGGCAGGGAGACAGGUUGGUGGGGAAAGAAGAGUGGCAGGGAGAGGGAGACAGGUUGGUGGGGAGAGAAGAGUGGCAGGGAGAGGGAGACAGGUUGGUGGGGAGAGAAGAGUGGCAGGGAGAGGGAGACAGGUUGGUGGGGAAAGAAGAGUGGCAGGGAGAGGGAGAGGGAGACAGGUUGGUGGGGGAAGAAGAGUGGCAGGGAGACAGGUUGGUGGGGGAGAGAAGAGUGGCAGGGAGAGGGAGACAGGUUGGUGGGGAAAGAAGAGUGUCAGGGAGAGGGAGACAGGUUGGUGGGGAGAGAAGAGUGGCAGGGAGAGGGAGACAGGUUGGUGGGGAGAGAAGAGUGGCAGGGAGAGGGAGACAGGUUGGUGGAGAGAGAAGAGUGGCAGGGAGAGGGAGACAGGUUGGUGGGGGAAGAAGAGUGGCAGGGAGAGGGAGACAGGUUGGUGGGGGAGAGAAGAGUGGCAGGGAGAGGGAGACAGGUUGGUGGGGGAGAGAAGAGUGGCAGGGAGACAGGUUGGUGGGGAAAGAAGAGUGGCAGGGAGAGGGAGACAGGUUGGUGGGGAGAGAAGAGUGGCAGGGAGAGGGAGACAGGUUGGUGGGGAGAGAAGAGUGGCAGGGAGAGGGAGACAGGUUGGUGGGGAAAGAAGAGUGGCAGGGAGAGGGAGACAGGUUGGUGGGGGAAGAAGAGUGGCAGGGAGACAGGUUGGUGGGGGAGAGAAGAGUGGCAGGGAGAGGGAGACAGGUUGGUGGGGAAAGAAGAGAGGCAGGGAGAGGGAGACAGGUUGGUGGGGGAAGAAGAGAGGCAGGGAGAGGGAGACAGGUUGGUGGGGAAAGAAGAGAGGCAGGGAGAGGGAGACAGGUUGGUGGGGAAAAAAGAGAGGCAGGGAGAGGGAGACAGGUUGGUGGGGGAAGAAGAGUGUCAGGGAGAGGGAGACAGGUUGGUGGGGAGAGAAGAGUGUCAGGGAGAGGGAGACAGGUUGGUGGGGAGAGAAGAGUGUCAGGGAGAGGGAGACAGGUUGGUGGGGAGAGAAGAGAGGCAGGGAGAGGGAGACAGGUUGGUGGGGAGAGAAGAGUGGCAGGGAGAGGGAGAGGGAGACAGGUUGGUGGGGGAAGAAGAGUGGCAGGGAGAGGGAGACAGGUUGGUGGGGAGAGAAGAGUGUCAGGGAGAGGGAGACAGGUUGGUGGGGGGAAGAAGAGUGGCAGGGAGAGGGAGACAGGUUGGUGGGGGGAAGAAGAGUGUCAGGGAGAGGGAG
ensembl:lncRNA